AUUGAACGCUGGCGGCAGGCCUAACACAUGCAAGUCGAGCGGAUGAGGAAAGCUUGCUUUUCGAUUCAGCGGCGGACGGGUGAGUAAUGCCUAGGAAUCUGCCUGUUAGUGGGGGAUAACUCGGGGAAACUCGGGCUAAUACCGCAUACGUCCUACGGGAGAAAGUGGGGGAUCUUCGGACCUCACGCUAACAGAUGAGCCUAGGUCGGAUUAGCUAGUAGGUGAGGUAAUGGCUCACCUAGGCGACGAUCCGUCACUGGUCUGAGAGGAUGAUCAGUCACACUGGAACUGAGACACGGGCCAGACUCCUACGGGAGGCAGCAGUGGGGAAUAUUGGACAAUGGGCGAAAGCCUGAUCCAGCCAUGCCGCGUGUGUGAAGAAGGUCUUCGGAUUGUAAAGCACUUUAAGUUGGGAGGAAGGGUAUUCACCUAAUACGUGGGUACUUUGACGUUACCAACAGAAUAAGCACCGGCUAACUCUGUGCCAGCCGCCGCAGUAACAC
rnacentral:rRNA from 1 species